UGGAUACUUAAUGGCCUUGAGACUGUUACUGUGUAACCAAAUAAACCCCCUUUAUAAAAGCCAGUCCAUUUCUGGUGUUUUGCAAAACAGCAGCCUUAGCAAACCAGAACAGACCUGCAUGUGUUGAACUCCUCUAGCAGCUCUGGCAGGGUGCUGCGUGCCGCUUUCCAGUAGAUGUGCUGGGUGAUCCUUUCUCGGCCAUCCCCGCAUUACUGGUGGGGGCGAUUGGUAGCCAAUGGUCUGCCCCGUGAGCGCGGCACUAACAGGAGUGGACAUGGGCUUCUCUAGUCAAACUGAGCUGUUUAAUGUUUCUUUUCCGGGCCUUGUUCUGGCAGUUACACGUAUGAUGUGUUUGUUUCCUUUUAGUGACACUGAUGGGAAGGUGCCUUUCUAGUCAUCUAAGAAAGUUCUCUUGAUCACUGGUAAAUAUUGUUGUUAUGUGCAUUCUUGAAUGUUUAAUUCAUAGUUUUAAUGGUAAGUGUGCCUUAUAUACUUAUUUCUGAAAUGACAAAACUCCACUUCAGGGCGUGGAAUUUAAACAGCAGGGACUGACUGACCGGGGAGGCUGUAUCCCACUCCUGCCCCUGCCACCCAGGUUCCCUUCUCAGAGACAGUCUCAGUACCCCCUUCCUUAGACAUCCUUCCCAAGCGGUUUCAUGCAUAUAUAAGCAAAUAUGUCUGUCUAAUCUUAUUUCCUCCCACUGUUCAGAAAUGGUAGCAGCUUAGGUUUAAAUGUCUACUUUGGGAGGUCUUGGAUGGAGAUUGUACACUAGAAGACAUGUCCUUGGAGCAUCUCUGCCUUCCUGUUGUCCUCCAACUCCAAAAGACCCUCCUAUUUCCAGAGGUUUCUUUUGGCGCAGGCUGUUGUAAUCAUACCCACCCUGACACUGAACUAGUCCACAUUAUGACUCAUGAUUAGAGCUAAAAGUGUGUUGAGCCCAGGAUACGGGCUGACACAUGGAACUGGCGUGCCUGGCCUGGUCUCUAGGGUGACCCAGGCAUUGUGGGGGCCACUGUGUGUGAGCCUGAGCGCUUUUUCUUGUGACUGGAACCCCUGGGCCACUGUGGUGGUUACUGCCCCCACCUAGUGCAAAGGGAGGCACUGGAGAGUGAGUUGCUGCCUUAUGUAUUUCUGCAGGGCUUUGCUGCUUGCAAAGUGCUUCUGGUGAGUUCUCUCAGUUCUUGUCCCCUCAGGUAACAUGAUUUUGGGUGUUACUUGGAUGAAUAUUUACUUUAUGCUCUAAUUUUAUAUGUAUAAGAUAAAGUCUAUCUUCACAUCAUGGAGUCCAUGGAUUGUUGCUUUGGGUAAGGUUAAAGCAGGCAUUGAAACUUUAAAAAGCAGUGAGGUGAGUCCAAGAGAAACAUGAAAAGACAGCACAUCCUGAAGAUGGUUCUGAGUGACUGGAGUUUAGGGGGUCCUCAUCCUUUAGUUAAUACAACCUCUGAGGGAGGGGUCUCAACCCCAUUUUACACAUGGGAACACAAGAGGCUGUCAGGGUCUCACCAGGUUCUUGUCCUUCGUGGGCUUCUUGCCCAUGUCCAUGCUAAACAGACCCAGACAGGAGCAUGUGUCAGGCCUGCAUUCCGGCUUGUGCCCCUGGGCGUCUUCGCGGGGAGCUCACUAGGCUGAGGCCUCAACCCCGCCGGCUGGUUGGCGGGCAGAGGCGCUAAGGUUUACACGCUCUGCGUAAAGGAAGAAAGCAGUCCAAAGUUACUUCCAGAGCUCUAAAGAGUUCAAUUCAGCAAAGGUUUUCAUGUUCAAAGCAUUGCAUUCUACCCUCAGUCCAGUGGGAGAGAGCCCCAGAAACCACACAACCCUCACAGCUUCCUGGGCGUGAAGUGGAACUACUCCCACCCACAGCUCCCCACACCUCCCCCUGCUGCUCGGCCAUCCUCUUGCCCACGCUAGUUUGAUUUCCUGGCUGCCCAGCAGCGGAAUCUAGAAAUUCGCUAGGACAGCCUGGCAGUGAGUGAGAGACUUGUGCUAAGCUCUUGUCCAGGAAGUGCCUCUAAACUCACUCCCGCGGCCCUGCCAAGGAAGGCAAUUAAUCCUUUCCUGGCCCAUGUGAGUGAGAUCCACCCAGCCACUACUGUGGCCACCGUGAGCCCUGGGGUUUCUGCGUCUCUCCCAAUUUGCUUCAAUUGUGUGCUUUUCAACAGAGCCAGUUUGUUGAUGUAGGAUGUUUCUAUCUGUAAUAACUAACCUCUGUCAGCCCCAUGCCUGAGUUCUAGUUUGGGAGCUGUGGUCACUGUGGGCCUCUGUCAACCGUUUCUACUCAUCCAGACAGCUCAGGGCAGCCUGAUGUGUUUAAAGCUUUGGCCACGGGCUACCUGAACAGUUAAUUAAAAUGAGAUGUAUUCAGUGUGAGCACAGUCCACAUUGCUCUGUGUGAGACUGCUGCUGUGUUUGGGGUCACUGAGAGUGCCAUCCACGGGUGGGUUAGCACUCAUUUCCCCAGAGAAUGGACUGUGGAUCACCUGGCAUGCUCCAGUCCGGGUCCAGCAUGCUCUGCCUGGGAUCAUGUUUCUGCUCAUUUGGGUCAUUCAGGGGUGACUGUGAGUACAAACCUGCCCCUCCAAAGGGCAAGCUGAUGUCUUAUUGUCUAGUAGGGCUGCUGGGCUUUCACUAGUGAAGAUGCUGGAGGCUGUCAGCCGGGAGGGGUCUCGGAGGCACUGCCCCCUGCGCAGUGCAGUCUGUGCAACAGGAUGGAGGCGACGGCUGGGAUGCAUCUGCUACCCACCCACUGGCUGGAAAGGAGUGCCCAAGUGGGCCUUUUGGCUGCACAGAGGCUGGCUCCAGGGCAGCCACUGCUCCUGGUCCCUGCAGGGGAAGACAACUGAACAACUGGGCAGCGGUGACAUGUUUGGUUCUGAAAUUUAUUGUAAAACAGGUAAGUGAUAAAUCCAUCAGGUGCUUUAACAGCCUUCCUUCUAGCAGAAAUUAUACUAGUGACUACAAGGAAAUAGGCACAAAUAAAAAUGAAGUCAAAUAUUCAAAGGCAGUUAAUAUAGGGACAGGCUUUGAGGGCCAUAGGUUGUGGUUGGAGAAGUCGGAGCAGGGAGAGCAUCCUCAGCUUGCUGGACGACCCUAGCAAGGCCCCUCUCCCUCUCUUUCCAUAUUCUUUCACUGAUUUGCCAGGAACCAGGGAGAAAGGGGAAUCUAGUCCUGUAUUGUCCUACUACCAAGGGGAAAAAUGACAGCGCUCAGCUUUUGAAUGUUAAAAGAAUAUGGCAAUUUGAGUCAAGCACAUUCAUUUGGUCGGUUUACAAAAGGGCUAUGUAAUGGAAAUCUAAUAUGAGAAGCUCAGGGGAGACGUUCUGCAGCCACAUUAAACAUGAAUUAUGGAUAAGGGAACAGAGUAAGAUGACAACAGCUUCCAAGUUUGGCCAAGCACCCCCUUAAGGAACAAAUUAUUGCUAGACUUCAACAAAACAAUUGCAUUAUUUUCUGGUCAAAGAGACUGGCAAGUUUUUUUCUGCUUUGCUAAUGGGAGACAGGUCAACUGUGGAUCUGAGUCUUGUCACUGAGCAGUCGGACCUGUCCUGCCAGCAGUUACCAAGGCUGAGGGUAAACUCUGCAGUGAUGGAAACAACACAGUGUGACUUAACUAGGCUGAUGGGGAGUUAAAAAUACAAGUUGCCUUGGCAAGGGUUUUGCAGAUACCUGCCUUACAGGCUGUCCUCCCACACAGCGACCUUGGGAAGGCCACUGAGAGUGGUGUAGGAGGAACCGGUGUUUUAAUGGUAGGUUGCCAGAGCAUCAGCGUCACCUCUGUCUCCAAGCUCUUCCAAAAUCAUUGAGCACGUGCCAGCAGGGGGGUUGCUGGUGGAUGAACUCUGCCCCCAGGAGGCAGACUGAAGAUUCUGAUGGGAACACCGUGGCUGCCCGGCCUUCUGAUGGCCUGUUGACCAAGUUAGCAAGGGACCAGUCUCAAGGUGUUAAAGAGAAAAUGUCAGCACCCUAAGAAUGGUUCAUGUAGUAAGGUCAAGGGGUGUGUUGAAAGCAGCUCACCCCCUCCAUCUUCUAAAAGUGACCAGGCAGCACUUGUCUAGUACUGGACAAGGGAAGAAGAGAGGUGGCAUGAGAGGUUCAGCUCGGGGACAGAGUCGUCCCUAGUGCAGAGCAGGCAGAUGCCCACCACUGGAAGCCAGCACAGGCGGAGGCUGGAAGUGAGCUGGCCCCCCACGGCACCCUCUGGAGCCCAGCAAGGGGGAGUCGACCAUCAUACAUUAAGAGGCAGGCCCCUUCCAAAUUGCUCCCGGCCCUUGUGGCCACAGCCAGGUAGCCAUCUGGCCUGGCCGCGUGAGGCGAGGCAGCAGGUUUGCGUGGCCCAUGGCGCCACAGCCCAUGCAGCCAGCAUGGCUUGUUCACUGCCACUGCAGCUGCUGUCCAAAGUGAGGCCCCAGGUAGGAGAGGAGGAGACUGCCACCAUCUAAGCCGACUGUCUCAGAUCUUGCCCAUAACAGCAGGCACCAGACAGUUAUGAUGUGAAGGGGACUUGGAAGGCUGGGGCUGCAGCAGCAGAAAGCCAUGUUUCCACAGCUGCGAGAAAAGUGUAUUUGCAAGGGUCAUUAUUUGUUAUUUACCGUGUCCAGUGGGAGUGCCACUCCCUUAACUUGGGGCCUAUACUCCUCAUGGGAUGAGGAGAGGUAGAGUACUUUGUCUUGGGGUUGCCAGUUUUUCCUUUCAGAAAGGACCAAAACUUCCACCAUAAGGAAAUUCAGUUUUUCUUUUGAUCAGCUGAAAGCCAAGCAGACAGCCAGGAUGAGAUUUCAACUUGGAGGGGAAGGUGAGGCCUUCUCUAGAAUCUUUUAAAUGUGAAUAUUGCCUAGGCAGCACCUACGGCUUGGAUUGAAAAACAUAAUCAAGUGGCAGAGAUGAAAUCCUCAGGGGGCCUGUGGUCCCCUUCAAGAAUCUGAUGAAAGAUACCAUGCUACUUCUCAGAAAAUGCUCUGUGCACAAUUUCACACAGCAUUUUGUGGGUGUCUUGAAUCCUGGACUAAGGUUCUGGAAAUAAUGAUGCAACCUCAGCCUGCAAAACAAGUCAUGUGAGGUAAGGACUGAAGGCUACUAAGACGGGGGAGGUGAGUGAUGACCAAGUGCUAUCCAGGAGAUUGUGGGGUACAUGGAAAAAAUAAUCUGAACAAUAAGUUAAGAAAUUUUAAUGUUAGAACAAAAAUGGAUCUAUAAUAAAGUACAAAGCCAAAGUCAUACAAUAUUUUUAAAGAUAGGACACAUGAUCUCUGAGGUUUUAGCCUCCAGUUCCCUCCAUGGCAUAUUCUGUCUUUAGGGGAGACUGUGGUAGAAGAGUGUGAGAAGCAGAAGAGCUAAAGAAGAAAAGCUGAUAGACAAAUCUGCCAGAAACUCAGUUAAAACUUAAGACGCUCCUUCAAAGUAGCCAACAGAUGUGAAGGCAAUCCCAUCAGAGAGGACUGCGACUCAUUUUCACAAAGGUUUCCUUCAUGCCCCUGGUGGUUCAGAGCUCAAAAUCCCAGUUUAGAGAUGUGGCAGGGCACGUUUGCUGUGAUGAGGCUGUGGCUGUUAAAUGAGAUGUGGCGGACCGGGUGCCUGGAACAGAGAGAGAGCUGUUUGAAAGGCAAGUCCCACUGAAGCUGAGCAAAUCUUCCAUUUGCGAAGGCAGUCCCAGAAGGUCAGAGCUGCAGGGGACUCUAUUCUUUUACGGAGGAGGAACCCAGGCCCUGAGAGGGGUAGUAUUUCAUCCCAGUUCCCAAAGCUAGCAGGAACAACACCACACUGUGUAAGGGGAAUUCUGAUUACUUUACAUUCUAGUUGGAGAGUCAGAACAUGAAGGACAAACUCAAUGCAAGACAUUUCAGCAGCACAUGAGAACAGCCCUGUUUCUGCCUCCCUAGUUGGAUGGUCUUAUUUGGUGGUGAUCCACAAAGGCCUCUCUAGUCCUAAAGUCAGAGGGCUAGAAAUGGUACCUCAAUUUGAGGUUGUGGACGUAUACUUAGAAAACCUUGUGACCAAAAAGCUUUAGCAGAACCUGUCAUUUGUUCUAAAAAUAUUUCUCUAGUGCCUACUAUUUUCCCAGCAAGGAGGUGGAGGAAGAAGGUAUAUGACACAAGCAGAUACCAGCCAUCAAGGAGAUUCCUAACUGGUCAAGAAGGCACCUGAGGGAAGGACCUUACCGAGAAUGCACCUCCCACAGCUUUUGGUUCAUUCGAUAAUCCCACACUGAGACGAGGCCUUCCUCGCCCCCACUGACAAUUUUCCAGUCAUCCAUCUGGACUGCAGAGACUCCAAGUUGGUGGGCAGAGAGUGACAGGGCAAUUUUAUCAGUGCGGAGGUCAUGGAUCCUCACCCUGAAAGGCAUGAGAUGGGCACAGAGAAGGGAAAUGGGAUUGAAGUUAAAGCUUGAAAUGACAACUUCCUGCUCGUGUGCUGGUCUAUGCACAACAUCCUAUGGAAACAGAAACAAGAUGCCACAGAAAUGGACUUGUUUAGAGUGCCCACAACCAUCUAAUCAGAAUGGUUUUAGAGCACACAGAGUAAGACAUACCCAGGACGCACAUGUAGCUAACUGCCCUGCUACUCACUUCAUCAGCUCAUCAGGGGAAAGGCAUCCUGCUUUGGGAGCAAGUCCGACACAGACACAGGUUCACAUCUGACUGGCACUGUGAACGCCAGUGGGGUCAGCCUAAGAGGACUGUUCAAGAGGUAUGUUUACAGUCUAGUAUAUUUUGUGACUUUGCCAGUGGUACAAUAUUUCAUUAAAGGCAUGAGGUCAAUCAGCUACACUUGUCUGCAACUCAGACCCUUACCUAGUGGGGGAAAAAAACAUUUUGUGGGUACUUUAUAGGUUCUUGGAAAGGGAAAAUAAAUGCAUAACAAAAUCACACUACACUUACGUGAACACGUGGCAGCCAUUUAACUACAAUUAAAUGGCUGUCAGAUUAAAGACUUGUUAUAUAAGUAUACGCUGAAUUUUCACAAGGAUAAGAUAAUAGGACAAAAAUCUCUUAUCCAUUACAUAGUUCAUCAACUAAGUCAUGAGAGCUAAAAUUAGGCUAAGUACAGAUGAAGUCAACAGACUCUAUGCUACAGGUCAAAAAGGACAAGACCACGGCUUCCCUAAGAAAACUCCAUCUAGCAGGGUACCUAGACAAACAAUUAUAAUAAUAUGUUAAACUUGAUCACAAACAUGUUUGACACACAAAAGAAGUGGUUAAGAUAGGAUAAUCUGAUUCAUGUUCUAUGUCUUGGACUCUUACAAGCAUGUACCCACAAAUACAUAUUUUCAGAGAUCUGAGGAAACAUUAUUUUGAACCUAAAAUUCGACACCUAGCUUACCUACCAAGUUUGUUCUUGAAUUCAAAGUGAGCCACCUAUGGAAACUCUGAAAGAAUUACUCAAAUGUUGUAGCAAAAGAUAACAAGGAAUGGGAUGAGUCAACACACACAACAAAUCCACCUAUGAGCAGGAAGAGUUACAGAUGGCUCACAAAGUAAAAUGCAGUAUACACUACACAUGAAAAAUACAUUUGCAAAUGACAAGAUGUUACAAUUUUAAUAGCAGAAAAGUGAACUUCAGAGCAAAAAGCAUUACAUUGAAGAAGGGUACAACUUACUAAAGGUUUGGUAAAACAUACCUUGAAAAAAACAAAACAAAGAAACUACAUGGACCUAACAUUUUAUGUCUUUUUUGUUUUUUCACUCAGUAUAAUCUAUUCAGGUUUUCUGUAUCUUGAACUGCAUUUUUAAAUCUCCAAAUAUGAAAACCUAGAUGAAGAAGUAAAGGCUUUCUAGGGAAAUAAAAAUCACCAAAGCUAGCCUCCAGGAGAUACAAAAUCUAAACAUAAAAGAACAAGUAAAAUUUGCGAAACCUGUAAGGAGCAUACCUCCAGGGCUAUGUAAACUGUUCCACAGCACAGGACAAGAAAGGAAACUUCCAAACUCUAUAUGAGGCUAGCAUUCUGUUACUACCAAAAACUGACAUCACAAUUAAAAACUAUACAUCUCUCAAAAUAUUAAUAGAAUCCAUAGCACUCGGCUAUAAUACCAUUAUUACUAUAAUGACUAAGAUAGCUACAUAAUAAGAAAAGCCACAUGGUUACAGAUGCUGAAGAAUUUGAUGAAAUAUAACAAUUCCUAAUAAAAGGUCUAUUAUUUUACACUGUUCUGAACAAAUCAGAAGAUACAGAAAAAGGUGACAAUCGAAAAGUAGUUAUACUCAAAAACAGAAAAAAAAAUCCCACUUACAUUAUACUCUGUAAUACUCCCAACUUGAAUACAUUACAACACAAUAAAUUAGAGAUGACUCAGAACUCAAAGAAGUAAACAUAAUCAAAUACUAAAAAUAUUCACAGUAGGGGAGGCCUUUCUAAGCAUAACAAAACCCAGAAGCCAAAAAAAGAAAAGACUGAUAAAUGUAUAUAAAAAGUAUUUGAUUUUCCACACAGGGAAAAUAAUAGUGAUUAACUUCUAAACAUGUAUAGGAUGUUCAGGCUCACUGGAAACGAGAAAUGAGAAAUUACAAAAUAAAGCUACAACAGGAUACCAUUUGUCACUUAUCUACCUAGCAAAGAAAAGUUUGAUAAUCCACUCUAUGGUGGUGAGAAAGGGAGAAAUGGGCACUUAAAUAUACCACUGCUGCAUGCAGAAGUCCCUUUUUAUAGAGUGAUUCUGGCAUUAGCCAAUAAAAUAAAAUAGACCACUUUUAACCCAGCAAUUUUACUUAUCUACAAAUGUGCAUAAAUACAAAUAUGCAGUCUAUUUGCCACAGCACUGUUUUUAGUAGCAAAAGAUGGGGCUUUGAGUUGACUAGUAACCUGAAAACCCUCCCACUGAAAAUCACAAUAGCAGGAGAUAAGAUAUAACUAACAUCCUUUUAAUAUCCAUUGCUGAGCUCACAAAGCAAGCAGCUUCUCUAGGGCCCAAGCAGAAAACCACAGUGGCAAGCUUGAGCUGCUGCUGCAGUUGCCUGUGUGUGCAUAAAGUGUAGGGACGUUGGCAAGUGUGGAUCUCAAGAACCAGUGGGUUCAGGGGUCUUAACACAAUGCAGGGGCAGGAUUAGGAGACUUGGCACACCCAACACGGGAGAGAAGUGGACUGGUACUGAGACUCCUGCUUAAGAAAAAAGCCACGUAAAAUGUCCAUAAAUGAAAAUAUGGUCCCUGAAAUUAAAUUCAUUGGCUAGGCUAAGAAACAGAUAAGAGAACUUGUGAAUUAGAAGAUAACUCUGAAGAAAGGUAUCCAGAAUAGAACACAAAGAGAUAAAGAGAUAAAAAACUGGAAUGAGAAGUUAGGAGCCAAGAAGAAUAAAGGAACAGUUCAGCACAUGUUGAAAAGAAGUUCCAAGAGGAAAAAAUGGAGUGUGUGUUGAAGAGGCAAUAUUCAAAUAAUAAAUGGCUAAGAUUUUUAGAAAAUUAAGAUACACAUUCAAAUUCAAUGAGCACUAAAAUUAAAAAGUCAACACAUCAUAACAAAAUGGAAAAAUACAAGGAAAACCAAAGAGGUCUUAAAACAACUUCAGAAAAAAGACAAUACCUAUUAAUGUAUGAUAAUUAGACUGAAAAAUUGGAAACAACAUUUAAGUUGUGAUACAUUUGAAUGACUCAAUGUAGACUUCAUAAUAAACUCAUCUCAUCAACUGAGUGCUAGUUAAAACCACGACAGUGCUUCUGUACAGCGGGACACGGGGCAUCAUCAGAGAGCAUGAGGCAGAGCUACACACACUGGGGAGCAGUGGCCUCCAAUAUGCUGUUACAAAGAACAGGAGGCACGGCAGUGUGAAUGGGCGUGUGGUGGGGUGCGUCCUGCUUAGGGGUGUUCCGAUGACCUCUGGAGAACACUAGCUGUUAAGCAGUCACCACUAAGGAGGCCGACUUGGAAACUCCAGAAGAGGGUGCACAGAAGAGUGGCAUCUCCCUACAUACUUCUUUGUGCUUCCUUGUGCAUGUUACCUGUUUAAAUAAAACGAACACUUCUGAAGAUAAAAUUCUGUAAGCAUGUACUCAAACUGUUAACAGCAGUUACCUUGGAGAAGAAGACUGGCAAUGGAGGAAUGAGGAGGGCAAAGGCAAGCUUUUAAUUCUGAUUCUAUUCCCAGCCAUACAGUGAAAGAACAAGAACUCAGUCAUGACCAAGAGGGCACCUGGAGGCCUUCAAAGGUCCUGGCCCCACUCUGGUCUUAAGCUGGGUGGUGGGUUCACAGGUGUUCUAUGUUUUUCUUUAAGAUUGUACACAUACCUUAUAUCACUCACACAUGUAUGCACGGUUUCAUAAUUUUCAAAAUAAUAUAUUCAUCUAUU